rnacentral:rRNA from 1 species
UACGUAGGGAGCAAGCGUUGUCCGGAAUCAUUGGGCGUAAAGCGCGUGUAGGCGGUCCGGUAAGUCCGCUGUGAAAGUCGGGGGCUCAACCCUCGAAUGCCGGUGGAUACUGUCGGGCUAGAGUGCGGAAGAGGCGAGUGGAAUUCCUGGUGUAGCGGUGGAAUGCGCAGAUAUCAGGAGGAACACCAAUAGCGAAGGCAGCUCGCUGGGACGGUAUUGACGCUAAGGCGCGAAAGCGUGGGGAGCGAACAGG